rnacentral:lncRNA from 1 species
UUUACUUCUCAUUUCAUUGCAAGCCUCUCAUUAUAGUUCUUCGUGAAGGAUCUUAGAGAUCUACAUGACUUCCUUGAUGUUAAGGUUGUCCCUACUACCAAAUGUAAUGUUUCUACCUCUACAUAAAUACAUUUGGAACCUCCUACAACCUCACCAUAUAUCAUAAGCCAAUGUAGUGAACAUUCCAUUAUCAACCUUAACACCUUUGGUUCACUAUGAUGGUACUCUUUCCUAUAACCCACGCAAUAUUGACAAGUGGUUAGAACCGAACCCUCUAAUCUUCAGCCGUGCCAAUGGCAUCUUCUUUGUUGUAAACAAGUUAUCUUAAGUCAUGCAUUAACCAACUCAUACGCAUUGUUCAAUUGCCACCUACCUACCUAUGUACCAAUCCAAUUUUUCACUCUCGUGUAUAAAACACGUUGCUAUUGAUUUUCAUUUUGUUCACGAUAAGGUUUUUGUCGGCCAACAUUGUGCGUCUCAUGUUUCCACUCAAGACCAACUUGUUGACGCUCUCACCAAAUCAUUAUUCCAUCAAUGACUUCUUUUAUUCCUUUCCAAGAUGGGUGUUUCCAAUGGAAUCAUUAUCUUGAGGUGAAAUAUUGGGAACGAAUCAACAACUUCUCCCAACCUCGUGGAUUCCAGCUCAUGAUCCACUCAUUCACAUGAAAUGAAGUCUCUUAAUUUCAACUGCUCCCAAUUAUUCGCAAUUAAGCAUAUUGCAAUAUUCUCAUUUGUAACAAUUCCUUUCAUUUGAAUUCUGAUUCUUUGUGUAUAUAUAUUAUUGUAAAACAUACAACAAUUUAUUCAAUUCAUUCCUUUUUCUGCAAACUUGCUUGACCCUAUUAAUGCCAUCUUACAUCCACUGUCAUUCCAUUCAUGAAAGCAGACCAUAAAAAACACUCGCUCAUAAAACAUCACUCCAAUAAAAAAAAGAAGGAAAAAUCAGUUUUUUUGCCAAAUUUACAACAAGAAUAUUUGUUUAUUUGGCAAGCAGAGGGACUGGAGAGCAAAAUCAGCCUGAAGUCACGGGUCAUGAAAUAGGAUGCUUGGCCUGAAAAAGGCAUGUGAAGCCAGUCCAAAUUCCGAGUAGAAAAAAGGUCUCCAGUGAGGGCGGGGACAUGGAGGCUGGAAAUUGUAAUAAUCCCAAGAGUAUGUUGGAAUUUUUAUGUGUGGACUUACAUAAUUAAUUUGAUAAUGUCAUAAAUCAGUGUUAUUUAUUUUUGCAUUGUGGUCCAUAAUGGGACUGGACACAUAUUGUUGCUUGAUUUUUAUGGGCUCACCCUAAUUCACUUGACUGGCCCAUUAAGUCAAGUGGUGGUCCAAAUAAUGUGUGUGAUAUAUAUAUAUGAAUAUAUUUAUAUAUAUAUAUAUAAAAGAAAAGGAUGGGCUCACUGUGUGGCUGGCUCCCUGCUCUUCCUCCUUUGGCUGAAAGAGAGCACGCACUCUCGUCAUGGACUGAAUCUGGGUGUAGAAGGGAAGAGCUCAUUAACCCGUAAUUCUCGCACUAUCAAGCACUAUAGAAGCUUCCUGAAUACUAGAAAAGAGCAAGAAAUGGCCUUUCACGGAAUUAACCAAGGUGAACGUUUCCGUUUUUGCCGUUCAAUGCAUGCUUAAAUGUCAACAUGUGAUCCUAUAUUGUUUAAAUUUUCUUUAAUUGGUAUCAGAGCAAGCAUGAUUGACAUUUGAGCUGCAAUUUUGGGUUAAUUUUUGGGUUUCCCGUUUCCUGUGGUGGAAGCCAUUUUUUUGGAUUUUUAUUUCUCGUCUGAUGUUGAUUCUCUGUUUUCAAGCCCGAUUGUUGUUGGAAACUUGUAGAGAAUAUUGUUUGGAGCAAAACCCAUCAUUUUAUUUGAUUUUUGGAGCUUGUUUGGUGGGAUUUCGAAAAUUAGGGCUUGUUUGGUUCUUGCUAUUAUGCGUUUUUUGUGCAAUUUUUGGGUUUGGAUUGAAGAAUUGAUGUUUGAGGAUGGAAAUCUAUGUAUUUUUGACGAAAAAUGCGUGAAAUUUUGGGUGGAAAUUUUUUUUUUCUUCUCCAGAACCAGGCCGUGCUCAGCUAGAGGAGAAGAUGAAUAGUGAUGUGAUGAAUCAUGACGUCAUAAAAAAAAAAAAAAAACCAUUUUUUUUUUUUUUGUUGCCUUGGUAUUCUUGGAUUGAUUGUGCAUAUGCUAGAAUUAUUAUGCAUUUGUUAAAUUUGACUUUAUUGGGACAAUUAUUAUUAUUAUUGUUCUUUAUGGUAUAAUUUUUCCUUAUAUCAAUAAUGUUGUCCUAUGUCAAUUUUGUUAAAUAUUUCAAUUUAUUGAGGCAAUGAAGCACACUUGUGUGAUUGCCUAUCGCAAUUCCAAGUGUGUGAUUGAUUGUGCAUAUGCUAGAAUUAUUAUGCAUUUGUUAAAUUUGGCUUUAUUGGGACAAUUAUUAUUAUUAUUGUUCUUUAUGGUAUAAUUUUUCCUUAUAUCAAUAAUGUUGUCCUAUGUCAAUUUUGUUAAAUAUUUCAAUUUAUUGAGGCAAUGAAGCACACUUGUGUGAUUGCCUAUCGCAAUUCCAAGUGUGUCAAAUUGUGAAAAUUAAGAUAUUUUGAAUUUUAUUCAUGACAAUAGUGAACAUAUGUGUGGUUGCCUAUCGUGAUCCUAUAUGUGUCAAAUUGUCUUUGUUGAGAUAUUUUAUCUCCCUCUUUUGAUUGUUUUAUUAUUGUGAUAACUAAGGUCCAUACGGGUAUUGUGAUUGUCCUAUCGAUGAUUAUAAUAUUUGGUAGGAUGCUUGGAUUGGUGAAGGAAAUUAAUUUUAUAUUAUGACUCGUACUAAUUUUCUUUGCCCUUUCGGUAAUAAAAUUAGUGCAUCUUAGUUGUGAUAUUUAAUUGAUUGUCCUUAUUAAUUGCAUAGAAUCACAUGUUGACAAAUUAAGCAUGCAUUUAACAGCAAAAUUCAAUCCGUUACCUUGGUUCGUGCUUUGGGAAGCCAUUUCUUCUCUCCUUUGAUAUCCAAUAAUCUGUUUUCCGGGUGCGUGAUGGUCCGAGAAUGAGCGAUCAUAUUUGGUAGGAUGCUUGGAUUGGUAAAAGAAAUAAUUUUAUAUUAUGACUCGUACUAAUUUUCUUUGCCCUUUCGGUAAUAAAAUUAGUGCAUCUUAGUUGUGAUAUUUAAUUGAUUGUCCUUACCGCCGUGGAAUUUUCAAAAUUCCAAGCUGUUGCUAAAUUGAGAAAUUCUGGAAACUAGCAAAUGCAUGAUUUUGUAGUAACAUGCAUAUUGCUUAAUUUUGCUAUUUUCCAGCUACUAGCAAUCCUGGUAUUACUCUGCAAUUGUUUGCCAUCAAACCCUCUUACUGGAAUAAUUUUGAGGAAUGUUUUGAGUCUUUCAAUGUGCAUAUGACUAUGCACAUUUUGGACUGGGCUUUGAGAGUUGAUAAGCCAAGUAAAUUUGAGUUCUUCCAUAUUGUGGCACAAACGCCUAGGUCAUAUUUCUAGGCAAAGAUUAGAGAGAUUGGUUAGAGAUGGUGAGUAUUAUGGGAGAUAUGAUGAGACUGGACGGAAUUCUGGACCAUUCACUAAGUUUAUGUUGGAAUGCGGCAUUGAUGCUAGAUAUACAAUGUCAGGCACUCCUCAACAGAAUGGGGUUGCAGAAAGGAGGAAUCGCACAUUGUUGGAUAUGGUGAGGUGCAUGUUGUCUAAUUCCUCCUUACCAGAAUUUCUAUGGGGUGAAGCCUUAAGGAAUGCGGCAUAUAUUUUGAAUCAAGUGCCCAGUAAGUCUGUGCUUAAGACACCUUAUGAGCUAUGCGCAGCGGAAGUGUGGUUAGGCCCUAUAAUCCACAGUCAAAGAAACUUGAUCCUAAAACCAUUAUUGGUUUCUUUGUUGGCUAUUGCAUUGGAUUAAGGGGUUCCAGAUUUUAUUGUCCAUCUCAUACCACCAGGAUCAUUGAGUUAGACAGGGUUGUAUAUUUUGAAGAUGUGAGCUCUGUUGAUGAAAGAUCUAGUGGUAUCUGAAGUUUGAUAGUAUUAUCACCCAAAAUGACUUUAAAGAAAAUACAGUUGACAGAUGCAUAUAUUUGAGGGUUAGUGGGAGUAGUUACAUAUUUCUUGUUUUAUAUGUUGAUGAUAUACUACUCGCAUUAAAUGAUCCUAACUUGUUGAUUGAGACAAAGCACAUGUUGUCAACCCAUUUUGACAUGAAGGAUCUUGGUGAGGCUUCUUAUGUCUUGGGCAUAAAGAUUCUUCGUGAUAGGGCUAAUGGAGUGCUUAAAUUGUCUCAAAGAGCCUAUAUUGAAAAGAUAUGAAGAGGUUCAAUAUGCACAACUGUAGUUUGAUAUUGCUUUUAUUGUGGGCAUGUUGGGAAGGUACUUGAGCAAUCCUGGGAGUCAACAUUGGAAUGCAGCUAAGAAGGUCCUUAGGUAUUUGCAAGGAACUAAGGACUUAAUGUUGACAUAUCAGCGCACCAGCUUACUUGAUGUAGUUGGGUUUUGUGAUGCUGAUUUUGCUGGCUGCAUAGAUGAUAAGAAAUCCACUACGGGCUAUAUUUUUAUGAUGGCAGGAGGAGCUGUAUCUUGGAAAAGUGUCAAGCAGACACUUACAACAUCCUCAACUAUGGAGGCAGAGUAUGUGGCAUGUUAUGAGGCUUGUUGUCAUGCUAUGUGGAUGCGGAAUUUUGUUUCAGCUUUAGGAGUUGUUGACUCCAUUUUUAGACCGCUGAAAUUAUUUUGUGAUAAUUCCGCAGCUGUUGCUUUCUCCAAGAACACUAGGAGUAUUUCUCGCUCCAAACAUAUUGAUGUAAAGUUCUAUUUUGUUAAGGAGAAAGUGGCAGGGUCUCUUAUUGAUAUUGAACACAUGUCCACAAAAAGUAUGUUGGCGGAUCCAUUAACAAAAGGCUUACCCAUAAUUGCGUUUCAGGAACAUGUAUCUCAAAUGGGGUUGUUGGAAGCCUAGGUUGUAUUAAGUUAGUGGGAGCCAUUUUUUUUUUGUAUUGUAAUACUAUGUUAUUGUUGAAAGGAUUGCUAUUAUUGUACAUUUCCCUAUGAAUCAAGCAAUGAAGCAUAUAUGAUCGCUUUUGAUUAUUUAUUUCUGAUGAGAUUCUAUGGGACAUUGAUUUAUGAUUAUGUAUAUGUUGUGAUGUUUGAUUAUAUAGUCCAAGUGGGAGAAUUGUUGGAAUUUUUAUGUGUGGACUUACAUAAUUAAUUUGAUAAUGUCAUAAAUCAGUGUUAUUUAUUUUUGCAUUGUGGUCCAUAAUGGGACUGGACACAUAUUGUUGCUUGAUUUUUAUGGGCUCACCCUAAUUCACUUGACUGGCCCAUUAAGUCAAGUGGUGGUCCAAAUAAUGUGUGUGAUAUAUAUAUAUAUAUAUAUAUAAAAGAAAAGGAUGGGCUCACUGUAUGGCUGGCUCCCUGCUCUUCCUCCUUUGGCUGAAAGAGAGCACUCACUCUCGUCAUGGACUGAAUCUGGGUGUAGAAGGGAAGAGCUCAUUAACCCGUAAUUCUCGCACUAUCAAGCACUGGAGGAGCUUCCUGAAUACUAGAAAAGAGCAAGAAAUGGCAUUUCACGGAAUUAACCAAGGUGAACGUUUCCGUUUUUGCCGUUCAAUGCAUGCUUAAAUGUCAACAUGUGAUCCUAUAUUGUUUAAAUUUUCUUCAGAGUAGUCUUGCGCCCUUGUCCAAAUGAGAACAUCACGAGAGAGAUUGAAAAUGGUGUCUCCAGCGUCUGUUUCUAGCACCGGCUUUGAAAAAGCAAUAUGAACGCAAUCAACUCAAAUAAAGAAUUGCCAAGAUUUUCCAUUGAAAAGCCCACCAUUCAUUCAUUCAUACAUUUUCUGCAACUUUUUUGUCUUCAUAUAAAACCUUCAUCAUCACCCAUCUCCAUUCACAAAACCAAGACGAGGGCUCGGGUUUCUUCUGAUGGAUCACCUGGGAUCAUUAACAAUUAGAAAAAUACUUGUCCCGAGUGUAAAAUGCCGGUCGGAAUGCUGGAAAGUUAAUGAGAAAAUGUUCAGUCUCAAUACCUUCAUAAAAAAAUAUUGAUUUUAUAAAUGUUUGAUAAGUUGAUUCCAAAAAAACACUUUUUAAAUAAUAAAAAAUUGGAUAAAUAAAUUUUAGCUGUUUUUUUAAAUAAUUCUUGGAUUUUUAUUUUAUAAAAAUUGUGUAAAUUUAAUUUAUAUAAUCUUAAUUAAAUUAAUUCAAAUCUUAUUAAAAAUAAAAAUAAUUAUAAAUCAUAAAUAAAUAGUUCUUAGCAAAAUAUGAAUAUUGGCAUUGCAAUAAAAUUAUAAAUUAUAUUUUUAUUAAAAAAAGGAAUUAUUUUAGUAUUUCUUAUUAUAAAGGCAUGAUUGAUUUUUUUUUUUUUUGUUAAAAUGAAUAAUAAUAAUAAUAAAUACUAUUUUAUUUAAAAUAAAUUUAAAAACAAACAAAGUUUUAUUUUUUGUUUUGUAAGUUAAUUUAAAUUAGAUGCAAAAUGGACCAUUAGAGCCUCCAUCGGCCCAAUAGCCAUUUGGUUUAGUGGUGGCUUUAAAAAGAACAUCAGCUUUGCUGUUGCAACAAGGACCUUGAACCGUAGAUCUUAAGCUUCAAAUAGGAUGGGAUAUCUCUCCACUCUGCUAGUUUUUGCUUGUUUAGAAGCCUAACAAGAAACAACUAGAUAGGCUAUUUCAAAAAAUAAUAUAUAUAUAUAUAAUUACACAAUUCGAUUUUUUUCAUUUAAUACAAAUUUUUUCUAUUUUCAAUAUAUUUUCAUAUUUAAAUAUUGUAUAUAUAUAUUUUUAAUAAAUUUAAAAUAUUAAUCCAUUUAUAUAAAAAAGAAUAAAUAAUAUUACAAUUAUUAUUAUUUUUAAACUAUAUAUAUUUUAAAUAUUUUAAAAUUAAUUUUAAUUUUAAUAAAAUAUAAAUUAUAUAUUUAUGACAUCACCAAUACGACCGCCAUUUGACCAUGGGUCCGACUAAUAAACUGUAAAGUGGUAAUUUUUUUGAUUCUAAAAACAUUGAGAAAAUAUGAAGAAGACAAGAAAAAUAAAAGAAGGUAAAAUAUAAAACAAGAUUAUGACCUCUAGUGUCUCUUCUAAGUAGAGAUGAAAAAUCUCCACUUCUUCAUGCUUAUAUUCAACUUCUACACCAUUUUUCUCUUAAGCUAUGUUUAGUACCCAAAAAAUUUGAGGGAAAAUAAAAUAUAAAAGGAAAUAAAAAGUAAAGGAAAAAAAAUAUAUUAGAAGUCCAUAAAUUAUUUUUAUUUAUUAUUUCAAAUUCAUUUUACUUAUUUUAAUUUAUCGGUAUAAAUAUUAAAUAAUUUAAAAAUAUAUAAGUUUUUAACUAGUUUUAAUUAUAUUUGGUUUUCUUUAAUAUUUUUUAUAUAACAAUCAAAUAUGAGAAAAUCAAUUUCUUUUACAUUUUUUUUUCUUUCCAUAAUAUUUUUUGAGAACCAAAUACAACCUUAAUAAAUUUUCAAAGAAGAAGAAUAAGAAAAGAAAACCUAAGGAAAUGAAGAAAUAUGAGUUAAUAUAAAUAACCCUAUUAUUUACAUUAGGAUGUAAAACAAAGGGAAUAGAAGGUUUCCUUGGUACUUUAGUAGUACAAUAGGUGUUGUUGUUGUACUAUUAAUAUGAAGUAGUUGUACAAUAGAAUAUCAUUCGCCUUAUAUCAUAGGCCUUCUAGUGGGAAGGCCAACCACAAACUGUAACGCUUUUAAUACAUCCCCAAAUUUCAAGUAUAUGUGUAACAUUUGGUAACCUCUAUAAAUGUGACACGUGACACUUCUAAUAUAUCCUCUAAUUAAAUACACUUAUUAGUUAAAAUAAUUAUUUUGUAGCUUAUUUCUAUAAUUUUGAGGUUAUUUAAAUUUCCUAAUUAUUUUUAAUUUAAUUGGAUUUUUAAUUAUUAUAUAUAUAUAUUUUUUAAACUAAAAAUUUCCUAUCUAACAAUUCAGGAUUUUACAAUUAAUUAGUAAAAUUUUAAAGUUUUAAAUUAUUUUAAAAACUACUAAAAUAUUGAAGAAUUUAGUUCAUUAAAUCUCAUUUGCAACUUCGAGUUUUUAUAUUGUAUUAAAAAAAGUAACUUUUCAUUUUUAAAAUUAUGAUUAUAUUGAUACUAAAAUGAUAAAAUAUUCAUAGUAAGAUAGAUUUUGAGUCGACCUCGCCGGGUGAAUCUUCAACUCAAAUCAAGGUCGGAUUAAUAUUUCUUAAUCCAGUUAGCUUGUAUAAACAACAAAAUAGAUGAUGCAAUUUUUUUUAAAAAAAAAUUAGAAGCAAUUUUGUUUUUAUAUUGUAUUAAAAAAAUAACUUUUUAUUUUUAAAAUUAUGAUUAUAUUGAUACUAAAAUGACAAAAUAUUCAUAGUGAGAAACUUAGAUAGGCUUUGGGUUUGAUCUCGAUGCAUGAAUCUUCAACUCAAAUCAAGGUCGGAUUAAUAUUUCUUAAUCCAAUUAGCUUAUAUAAACAACAAAAUAGAUGAUGCAGUUUUAAAAAAUUUUAGAAGCAAUUUUAAAGACUUUGUCAAACACUUAGAAAAUUCUUAAACACAAAGAAAAAAAAUGUUUUAUUUAUUUAUUUUAAUAUUAGAAAUUAGUGCUAGUCAUCAACCAUUUUGUUAGAAGUCAUUAAUUUGAGUCGAACAAAGACGAACGAUUUGAAUGUCAAAGUUGAAUGAAAAUUAUUCCACAUGAUACAGAGCAUAGCAUAGACUUGGUCCCCCUGUCAUCGUAUCUCCAUAUCCAGGACAAUUUGAUUACUUAUCCCGGAAGUAUCAUCCAGAAGACUCCAGGGUUUAUCACCAAUACAUCACAUGCACCCAUAAUUUUCUUCGGCGGACGUAGGCAGAACAGGUUUAUCAUCUCUGUAUGCAUGAUUUUCUUCGACAACCGCGUAGUUGGAGGUCUUUUUUUAAGUCUUCUUUCACUUCUAUAUAAGAACAGAGCAUCACAUGGUUAUUAAACACCAUUCUCUACCUCUCUCUCAGACCAUGAAACUCCACUGCUCAUGGAUGGUGGUACUGGCCACACUAUGUGUAGCUCCGCUGUGCUUCGCGAUGGAGCCCGUCUCCGAGUCGGAUAAACUCGGAAGCUUGCCUGGGCAACCACAUGUCAGCUUCCAACAGUUUGGUGGAUACGUAACCAUUGAUGAAAAGCAAGGCAGAGCUCUUUUUUACUACUUUGUUGAAGCAGUAACUGAUCCUACUGCCUCAAAGCCUCUUGUUCUCUGGUUAACUGGAGGUAAUUAGUAUCAAAUUCUUCUUCUCUGGCAUCUUAUUAAGGUAAGUAGAUAAAGUUAAAAUCAUUUCAUUCUUGGUCUCUGAGUAGUGGAAUUUAUUUUGUAGGACCUGGUUGUUCGUCCCUAGGAGGGGGGGCUUUCAUGGAACAUGGCCCUUUUAGGCCCCGCGGGAACACUCUGUUAAGGAAUAAGCAUAGCUGGAACAGAGGUGUGUUGUAGAUUUUGGACAAAGUUGUUUUCAAUUUCAAUCAAGUGUGGUAGAAUUUGUUAGUAUUUAGGGCACUUUGCUCAAUUUUUCUCGACUAUGAUAUUAAUUAAAUUACUAAAAUGAUGAAAUUUACCUCUGAAAUUCUUCUAUCACAGAGGCAAAUAUGUUGUAUGUGGAGUCACCAGCUGGAGUUGGGUUUUCUUAUUCUCGUAAUAAGUCCUUCUAUGAUGAUAUAAAUGAUGAAGUCACAGGUUCAUUUUUUAUCCCCUUUUGUCAAUGAUUUCAACUAAAGGUCUUCAGACGUACUGAUUUUUGGAUGUUUUUCUUAAGCACGAGACAACCUCGCAUUCUUGGAGGGCUGGUUCAUGAAAUUUCCAAAGUACAGGAACAGAGAAUUAUUCAUUACAGGGGAGAGUUAUGCAGGUAAUUUUAGUGAAGACCUGUUAUUCAGGUUAAGACAAUCAUUUGAAUUCAUAGUGAAUUCAUCAAUUUUUAUUUUCUCUUCCUAUUUUAAUUGAAGGUCUCCUUUUAAUUCAGGUCACUACGUUCCUCAACUUGCACAGCUCGUUAUUAAUUCCGGCAAGAAUUUCAAUUUGAAAGGAAUCCUUGUGAGUAAAUUUGCAUUAAGUAUACAUUCUUAAAAUAAAUGGUUGGGCUAAAACUGAUAAUUGAGCUCGAUUUGAUGGCUGCAUGCAGAUUGGAAAUCCUCUUCUAGAAUUCGAUACUGAUAUGAAUGCCCAAGGAGACUUUUUCUGGUCCCAUGGAUUGAUUUCAGAUUCUACACAUGCACUUCUCACGUCCACCUGCAACUAUUCCCAAAUUAUGCGAUGGGUUUAUAAUAUCAGCGAGUCUCUCUCGCCCGAGUGUUACGAGGUAUAUAACAAAUCUGCGGGAGAAAUUGGUGGAUCAGUUGACCCAUUUGAUGUUCUUGGGGACAAAUGUUUGUCAUCGGUAAGGUUUCAUUUCUUCAAUCCAGUUGGUGGGCAGAGGGAAGGAGAAAAAAAAAGACUUGUUUGUACUUGACUUUGAUGGUAAUAUUUGGGUUUGACUCAUGCAGGAAGAGGUCUGCCUAACAGAUGAAGUGGACGUGUAUCUAAACAGGAAAGAUGUGCAGAAGUCUCUCCAUGCCCAGCUUGUGGGCACGCCCAACUGGACUUUAUGCUAUCCGUAAGGAUUCCACACAUUUCCAAUUUACUCUAUGGACGGGUUUACUUUAUUUAAGGGGAAAGGAAAGGAAGGGAAUCAUUCCAUUUCCUCUCUCCUCAUCCGUGGGAAAUCGAUUUCGAUUCCGGAUUUCUUGGAUCUGUUGUUUUAACAUUGUUCUGUAUUGCAGGGAUAGUGCCCACUUCUUGAAAGACGCUGUGAUUCCAUCUAUUAAUGUUGUGGAAUGGCUUGUUAGGUCUGGGAUCCGCGCCUCUGUUUACAGGUAGGUUCCAUUCGUCUGAUGAUAUGACAUCUGGAAAUGUUGGGUUUUUAUUUACAAUUAUGAAAAUAACAAUUAAAAUUGCAGCGGAGAUCAAGAUUCAAGGAUGUCCCUAUUUGGAACCAGGUCUUUACUGGAGGGAUUGGCAAAGAAGCUGAAGCUGAAAACAACCGUGCCUUACAGAAAUUGGUUCGAGAAGAAACAGGUUCACAUAUGAUCAUUCCACAUACUAAUUGAAAUUGAAGGUGAGACAAAUUAAAAAUGAGUGACCGUAAUGACCAUGUUUUCCAAUUUUCCUUUCUUCUUCAGGUGGGUGGGUGGACGCAAGUGUACGGUGAUAUCCUAUCUUUUGCGACCAUCAGAGGAGGUUCUCACACAGCACCCAUAUCACAACCGGCGAGAUCACUGGCGCUGUUUACGGCAUUUCUAGAAGGAAAGCCCCUCCCAGAUGCAUGAAACUCAUCAAUUUCAUGGUUGAAUAAAUAAGUUGGAGGGGAGGGUGUUUUAUCUCGCCAGCAAAUGUCACAUCCUCUGUGUAUGGAUGUGUUCCAUUUAUAUACAUAUAGUGGAAAAAUAAUUGUAUCAUGUAAUUUGAAUUUGGGUGUAAAAGUUUUAAUAGUCUACACGAAGGUGCAAAAAAUUGUGAUUUAGUCAUUUUUUAAUAAUAAAAAAAGUAAUGAUUUUUUUUUUACUAUGAAAAUAAUAAAUUUAAAUCAUUGGUGGGAUGCAAGUUAAUUUAAUUUUUCAUUUAUUUUUUACUUGCAUGAUUCACUUAUUGAGGAGAAUAAAAGGAAAAAUUACUUAGUUAUGCAUGAUUUUCGUAUUUCAUACCUUUGAAAUAUUGCAAUUUUUUUUUUCUCUGAUAACCAAAACCAUAGACAUAAAAAAAAAUAAAACUAAAAUUUUAAUGUGAUUUGACAAUCAAUAUAAUAUCUACAUCUAUAAAGUGCAUCAAUACUUCAAAAUUCACUAAUCAAAAGAAAUGUUACAACUUAAAACAACAUUUUAAAAAAAACCCUAAAAAUUAAUACGAUUUAGUCACUAUCAUUUUUUCAAGUAAUAAAAAUUAUACGAUAUGAUUAUUCUUGUUUUGUAUGUAGGAAAGAAAAUACAAUUUAGUUAUUAUUACUGAAAAUUUUGUGGAAAUAUUAUGUAGUUUAGUUAUUAUUUUUUGAAAAAUAGUAAAAAAAAAAAAAAGGAAAUAUUUAUUUAAAUAAAAUUUUGAUGAAGUCUAUUCUUCUUGUAUUUUUCAUUUUUUAAAAUUCUUUUAUAUAUUUAUUAAUUAUGAAUCUCCUUUUCCCCUUUAAAAACCUUUCAAAGAACUUUAAAGUUCUUGGAGAAAUUUGAAAACCUUCUAACAAAAGAUUUGAACCUCCCGUGGUACUCUUCUCUUAACUGAGAAUUUAGGAUUUCCCUAGUUCAUAAAGAUUGAGGGGAUUUUCUAUUGUCUUAGGCUAUGUUUGGUUCUUAGAAGGUUUAAAAACAAAUACAAGAGAAAAAAAAAAUGAAAGAUAGAAGAAAAGAAAAAAAAAAAUUAAAAUAAAUAAAUUAUUAUUAUAUAUUACUUCAAACUUUUUUCACAAAUUUAACUCUUCUAUUCUUAAUAAUUUUAAUGAUUUUUAACUUUCUUUUGCAUUUUAUAGUAAAAUCAAAUAUGAGAAAAUAAUUUUAUCUAACAUUUUUUUUUUCUUUUUCUACUGUUUUGAAAAACCAAACAUAACCUUAAAAUUUAAAUUUAUUUCUCAAAAUUGAUAAUUAUUAUUUUAGUUAUUAAUUUAAUAUUUUUAUCUAUUCUAAUCCUCUAAUUUUAAUUGUUCAAAAUCUAUUUCUUAAUUUAUGUUUCUUAAUUUAUGGACCCAUACAAUAUUAUUUUAUUUAUCAAAAACUCGUCUUGUCAACAUAAGUUUAAAUAACUUUUUUUUUCUAUAAUAAAAACAUAUUAUUUUAGAAUGAUGUUUUAUGUGUUAUUACUUUAAAUAAAAUUUCUACUACUAACUACGUAAUAAGCAAAUAAUUAGGGUUAAUUAAAAAUAAUUUUAUUUAUUAAAUAUAUAAAAAUUUAUAUUUAAUAAUCAAGUAUCAUUUAAUAAGAUCAUAAAAAUGAAAUAAUUAAAAUUUUUAAAAUGUCAAACACUUUGUAGUAUUAAAAAUUUUCAAAUAUUGUAAUGGUUAAAAACGCUUUCUAAAAUGACCAUAAAAUGGAAUCUAAAUCUAUUUUAUGAAAGUCCUACAAUAUAAACAAAAUAUAUAAAAGAAAAAUAAUACAAAACAAAAUUUUUAUUAAAAUUAAUAAAUUAUGUGAUACAAUCUUUGUAAUAAUAUUUUUUUGUAAAAUAAUAAAUUUCUCUAAUUCUUUUAACUUGAUCAUAAUUUGAAAGAUGACAAUGAAAAUGUUUCUUUAAUCUGAGAGAACAAUCAAUGAUCAUUAAUAACUUGAUUUGGAAUGAACUCGUUUAAAAGCAAAGAUCGCAUAUGAAAUACUUAUGUCAUCUCUUUAACUUGCAAGGAGAUUUCAUUAAGGAAAUUUGUUAAUAAAAAAAUAUUUAUUUAUUUUCAUUAAAAUACUUGUUCAAUUUUAAUAUAGUAUUUUCCCAUCUAUCACCUUUUUAAUACAUGUGACGUUUCAAAAUAGUACUUAUUAUUAAUCCCAAAUUUUAUCCAAAGCCACGUUUUUUUUUAACAUCUUUUUAAUAAUAAUUUAUUUCACCGAAAAUUUGGAUCUAUGACAACUUUCUUCCUUCAAAUUAGAUUCCUUUCUCCUCGGGAUCUGAAGACACGAUGGGACGUGUCUUCUCAAUAGUACAACCAGGAACGUGUCGACUGAAAUUGUAUGCUUGGAUCAGUCAGUUUCUUUUCUCACUGGAAAGUAGAAGGAGGACAACCUUGGCGUCACUCAUGACGUCCAAAGAAACACCACUCCAAAUAUAUCUGCGUUCAUACAAGGCACCUUUUUCAACGCAUGGAAAUUGUGCCCUUCCUAUAAUAAAUUGGAGAAUCAAGCUGUCUCCAUAGCUUCUCUUUCUCUCUCGGUAACCAUGCAAACCCAGUCUUGGAUGAUGAUCCUGGCUGCAGUAUGCGCAGCUCUGGUUCACUUCUGUUCAUCAGCAGUGGAGUCCCACUCUGCCCAGGCUGAUCAAAUCAGUAGUUUGCCGGGACAACCCCGAGUCAGCUUUCAACAAUUUUCGNNNNNNNNNNNNNNNNNNNNNNNNNNNNNNNNNNNNNNNNNNNNNNNNNNNNNNNNNNNNNNNNNNNNNNNNNNNNNNNNNNNNNNNNNNNNNNNNNNNNGAUACAUUUUUCUAACUGAUUAUGGGUCUGCUUUUCUUUAUAAGCACGAGACAAUCUCGUCUUCUUGAAGAAUUGGUUCAUCAAAUUCCCACAAUACAAGAACAGCGAAUUGUUCAUAGCUGGAGAGAGUUAUGCUGGUAUGCUGUAACAUAAUAAAGAAUAUUCACAAGUCUCUUCCCCACGUUAACCAAAAUUUUGUCCUUUGAUUUCAAGCGCUCUGAUCAAACAUGAUUUUUUUUUUUUGCUUCAAUCCUCUGCUUGAUUUAUUCUUUUUUCAGGUCACUUUGUUCCACAACUUGCCCAACUCAUUCUUGAGUCCCGCGUGAAGUUCAAUUUGAAAGGAAUCCUUGUGAGUUGAGGCAGAGAAAAAUCCGGAUCAGUUUUUCUUAUAGGAUUGGACUGAAAUUAAUGUUAGGACUUAAUUUUAAUAUUGCAGAUGGGAAAUCCUCUUAUGGAUUUCGAUACUAAUUACAACUCAGUCCCACAUUUCUACUGGUCCCAUGGCUUGAUAUCAGAUUCUACUUACAAUCUUUUCUCUUCCAAGUGCAAUUAUUCUCGAAUGAACAGAGAGCAGACAUCUGGUUCUUUAUCACCUGCUUGUUUAGCUGUACGAAGCCAAUAUUCACAAGAAGUUGGUGACUCUGUUGACCGGUUUGAUGUCACUCUUAACUCCUGCUUACCAUCUGUUGAUCCACAACCGGUGAGGUUAACAUUAUCUCAAUAGUGCUCCACCAUUAAAAUACACUGCAAUUAAUUUCAUCACCAUGAUAAUUUACUUUUUUUAGUAGGAAUUUGCACAAUUUUGCUUUAGUUUGUACAUGACUUUGCUUUCGGCCUAUGCAGCAAGUCACAGAGAAUGUGGAUGUUUGUAUAGGAGACGAAGUAAACAAGUAUUUCAAUAGGGAAGAUGUGCAGAAGUCUCUCCAUGCUAGACUAGUUGGAGUCGCCAACUGGAGUAUGUGCAGCGGGUAAAAUUCAAUCUACAAUGGACCUCUACUACAUAACCAACUUUUUUUCUAGCAUCCAUAUUUGCUUUUUCUUUUUCUCUUACCUUUUGCUUUUUAAAAUUGCGAUUUCAUGGAUAUAAAUUGUUUUUUUUUUUAAUCUCCAUGUUACAGUGCUCUUAGAUACAAUAUAAAAGACAAAGAGAUAACCAUGAUUCCUGUCAUGGGCUCCCUUGUCAAGUCUGGUAUCCGGACCUUUGUUUACAGGUAAUGUUACAUGAUACAUAUGGGCGCUAUUUUUUUUCAUUAUGAUUCAAAAUAGUGAUAGUAAUACUUAAAAACCUCUACAGUGGAGAUCAAGAUUCAGUAAUCCCACUAUUUGGAACUCGGACUCUGGUGGAUGGAUUGGCGAAGGAGUUGAGACUGAAUACCACUGUGCCUUACAGAAAUUGGUUUGAGGGAGAACAGGUCGGCUUCUAUACAUGAAUAUGAGAUUAACUUCAUAAAUCACUUCAAGUUUCAACUGCUUAAUUAAAGAUCGGAUGAUUCAAAUCUCAUUCAUGAUGGUUUUUCUUCUGUUUUUCUAGGUUGGUGGAUGGACGCAAGUUUAUGGUGACAUCCUAUCCUUUGCCACCGUGAGAGGAGGGUCACAUACAGUGCCGGGUACACAACCAGCCAGAGCACUAGUUCUGUUCACUGCAUUUCUAAAAGGACAACCCCCACCAGCUGAAUGAACGGAUCAAAUUCACGGAUAAGAACUAUAGGUCAUUAUGUAUUACUAGAUAACAGAGGAUGUCUCUUCAUAUUGUGUUCAGAUAUUAAUGCAUUUCCUUUUAGAUUAGAUCAAUGCUCUUCACAUCCUCAUUUUCCAUGCAUUUAGCAGCAUCUCAGGUAUCAGAACGGCAAAUUUGCAUUUAAAAUCCUGUGAUUAUUGUAGAGGACUUCAGUUGGAACACUCGGAUUAGAAUUAGAAGCAGAAUUUUUUCGUAAAGAGAAGGAUAAACUGCUAACUAUAAGCCUAAACCAAACCAUAAAGCUUAUCAGCCCAUAACUAGCACUAUAUGGGGGAUCAAUAUUCCAAGCCUAAAAUUAAUGGCCCAUGCACAACACCUAAUAUCCUAACCAAACAACAGCCUUUUCUUUCCUAGCCCUAAAACCCUUGUUCUUCAAUCUCACGACCACUCUCUUGUUUUCACACCCUUGGAUCUCAACUUCGGGAGGAGACGAUGCAACAUGAAGCAAACCACGAUUUUAUGGCUUUAAGAAUAUGGUGGAAGAAAGCUCUGAUUGGCAGAGAAUAGCAGCACCGACUUGCACUCUUCUAGAGAUUUAGAAAUAGGUUGAAAUUUGAUACACUUCUUAAGAUGUAUUAUGUAAUUUUUUCAGAAAAAAAAAAAUCUUUGGUUGACUUUUUCGAAGAAAAAUUCAAAGCAUAUUAUAUAAUAAAAUGAAUAUUAUACUAAAGAACGAUAGAUUAAUUUGAUUGUUUAAGUUUCUCGAAUUAAUCAACAUUGGUGGUAUCUAUAAGAGAUCGAAGACACCAUCAUCCUAGCUACAUCACACGCCAAAGGUCUCCAUUCAGCUGUCUCUCUCUCUCCAGAGUCCAGAGACGUCUGUCUCAUCAAAGCCCUGAAAUCCCAGUCAUAGAUGGAAUGUUAUACUUAUUAUAAUAAUAGCCACAACAUGUACAACUCCGUUAUGCUCAACAAUGGAGACACUCUGCAAGCCCACGUCAGUUUUCAACAAUUUUCUGGAUAUGUAACCAUAGAUGGAAAGCAACACAGUGCUCUUUUCUAGUAAUUUGUUGAAGCAGAAAAUGACGUGGAGGCGGUUUCACCUUUUCUUCUUGUUAGUUGUUACGGGGAGGAAUAUUUUUUCUAUAUGAAUCUCUAUCAGUUUGUAUUAAAAAAUAGUGUGUUAGAAAGUUGUGUGACUUUGUUUUACGGCCAGCUUAUGAUUCAAAUAUGCAGAAAGCCACAGAGGAUGUAGAUGAUUGCUGCUUGCAUAUACAACAAAACAACGAAGUGACCAAGUGUUUUUAAGCAGGAAAGACGUGCUUAAAGCUUUCUGCAUUAACUAAAAAUAUAAUUUACUUUGAAUCUGUGACUAAAAAUGUUGUUUCAUAGUGAUUUUAUAAAAUAUUUUUAAUAUUUUUGAUAUUUGAAAAUUUUUGUUAUUUAAAUAUUAAAAAUGUUAAAAAUAUUUUUUAAAAUCAGUGUGCAAGUGUAACUCUAAUAAUUAUCACAAUUCAUGGGGAGAAUGGAGAUCAAGAUUCAAUUUUGUCCCACCAUUUGGGAGUCGGACUCAGGUGAGCGAAUUGGCCAAGGAAGCUUCAGGUGCGCGUCGAGCCUCGCUCCAGUGCGCGUCGCGGCGCGCUUCAGGUGCCCGUCGGGGCGCGCUUCAGGGUAAGCUUCAGGGUCAUGUCGAGGCGCGCUCAGGUGAGCGAAUUGGCCUAGGAACGCUUCAGGUGAGCGUCGAGCCUCGCUCCAGUGGGCGUCGCGGCGCGCUUCAGGUGAGCGUCGGGGCGCGCUUCAGGGUCGUGUUGAGGAGCGCUCAGGUGAGCGAAUUGGCCAAGGAAGCUUCAGGUGCGCGUCGAGCCUCGCUCCAGUGCGCGUCGUGGCGCGCUUCAGGUGCGCGUCGGGGCGCGCUUCAGGUCGCUUCGGGGUAAGCUUCAGGGUCUUGUCAAGGCGCGCUCAGGUGAGCGAAUUGGCAAGGAACGCUUCAGGAGCGCGUCGCUGUAAGCUUCAGGGUCGUGUCGAGGCGCGCUCAGGUGAGCGAAUUGGCCAAGAAACGCUUCAGGUGUGCGUCGAGCCUCGCUCCAGUGCGCGUCGCGGCGCGCUUCAGGUGAGCGUCGGGGCGCACUUCAGGGUCGUGUUGAGGAGCGCUCAGGUGAGCGAAUUGGCCAAGGAAGCUUCAGGUGCGCGUCGAGCCAUGCUCCAGUGCGCGUCGAGCCACGCUCCAGUGCGCGUCGAGGCGCGCUUCAGGUGCGCGUCGGGCCGGCUUCAGGUCGCUUCGGGGUAAGCUUCAGGGUCGUGUCGAGGCGCGCUCAGGUGAGCGAAUUGGCCUAGGAACGCUUCAGGUGCGCGUCGAGCCUCGCUCCAGUGCGCGUCGCGGCGCACUUCAGGGUCGUGUUGAGGAGCGCUCAGGUGAGCGAAUUGGCCAAGGAAGCUUCAGGUGCGCGUCGAGCCUCGCUCCAGUGCGCGUCGAGGCGCUCUUCAGGUGCGCGUCGGGGCGGCUUCAGGUCGCUUCGGGGUAAGCUUCAGGGUCGUGUUGAGGAGCGCUCAGGUGAGCGAAUUGGCCAAGGAAGCUUCAGGUGCGCGUCGCGGCGCGCUUCAGGUGCGCGUCGGGGCGCCCUUCAGGUCGCUUCGGGGUAAGCUUCAGGGUCGUGUCGAGGCGCGCUCAGGUGAGCGAAUUGGCUUCAGGUGCGCGUCGAGCCUCGCUCCAGUGCGCGUCGAGGCGCGCUUCAGGUGCGCGUCGGGGCGCGCUUCGGGGUCGUGUCAAGGCGCGCUUCGGGGUCGUGUCAAGGCGCGCUUCAGAGCGAGGCGGCUACCCCGAAAGGGAUACGCGUCAGGGUUCGAGAAUGGAUGAGGCACGCUUCCGGUGCCCGCUUUUCAGACCUGGAGGGUGGACGCGUCAGUCUGAAUGUGGUUGAACAAAAAAUGAAAUGGAUGCAAAGCAAAUUUUACAUUUGUUUUUUUAUAAGAACUAUACAUUUUAUGUAAAGGUUUUAUAUUUUAUGUAAAAUAUAGAAAGUAUAUCCACUUGUCACCUUAGUUUUUCUUCAUUAUAUUAGGUAAUAAAAAAUUUAUGCAAUUAAAUUAUUGAUUUUUUUCACUAGCAAAAAUGUUAUAUGAUUGAAUUAUUAUUAAUCUUUUUAAAAUAGUAAAAAAAUGAAAGUGCGAAACCAUUACUCUUUUUUGUUUAUUAUUAUUAUUUUUUAUUUUUUAUAUGUUUUAAUAUUUACUAAUUAUGAGAAUUAAAAUUUUAAAAGCUUAGGCCCAAUGUCAAAUUGGGAAGCUAAAAUAUUUACUCUAGACUUUUAACUUCAAAAAUUUUGUAAGGGAGAAAAGGUCAUCAUCCCUAUCUAAAUUAAUAUUCUAAUUAAAAUGUUUUUAUUAUGUAAUAAUACUUUUGUAUUUCUAAUAAAAAUGCAUUUAAGAAAAAUUAACUAAAUUAUGUUUAGUUUCCAAAAUAUUGGAAGAGAAAUGUGAAGGAAAUUAAAAAAUAUAUUUAAAGUUAAUAAAUAGUUUUAAGACAUUACUUGAAAGUCAUUUCAUACAUUUUAAUUUUAUUGUAUAAAGAUUGAAUAAUUUGAAAAUGCAUAAAUUAUAUUAUGUUUGGUUCUUCAAAAAUUUAAGGAAAAAAAAGAAUAUAUAUAUAUAUAUAUAUAUAUAUAUAUAUAUAUAUAUAUAUAUAUAUAUAUAUAUAUAUAUAUAUAUAUAUUUUAUAAUUAAUAAAUUAUUUUUAUAUAUUAUUUUCAAUUUAUUUCACUUUUUUUUCUUGAUUAAAUAAUUAAAAUAUUUAAAAAUUUAUAAUUUGUUUUAAUUAUAUUUGAUUCUCCUUUUAUAUAUAUAUAUACACAGAGAACCGUUUUUUUGUUGUUGAGCACCUGCGCAUAUGUUCAGAGCAAACUCCAACCAUGCACUUGAACAAACAAUUGGACUAAGCUUGGGGAUGAAGAAAAUGGAGAUGUGGAUAGGAGCAUAGUGUGGCCCCGUUGGUUAAUAAGUGAUUGGGGGCAAGGGAACAAACACUUUGAUGGCACAUGGAGGAGCACUUACAAGGAAGAAUGAUACCGUACUUGAAUUUUAUGGAUGUAUCGGUCAAAUAUAGAUGAAUAUUCUAAUAGUGAGACGAAAAUGGUUUAAAAUUCAUUAAAAUACUUUAAUUUUUUUUUAAAUAAUAAAAUAAAUAAAAAUAUAUAUGUUAAAAUUAUUUUGUAAGUGCAAAUAACGUAAUUAUGAUGAAGGAUAAUAUUUAUAAAAAAAUUUAGAAAAAUUUAUCUUGAAUUCCUUUCAUAUAUUUAUAUUCAUCUAUUUUAAAAUUUUAAAACUAUUUUUUAUUAAAAACAUGUUUUAUUACAUUUUAAAUAAAAAAUAAAAUCCUUUUUAAGAUUUAUAUAAAAUGUUUUAUUUGAGAUUUAUUUUCUAAAAUUUUAUUAUAUGUGGUAACAACUUUUUAUUAUAGAUAUUAAUUUAUUUAAAGAAUUAAAAUUAUUAAAAAUUAUAUUAAUAGUUUAUCCUAUCAAAUUAAUUUAAAUUUAUAAAAUAUUAGACCUUUAUUAUUAUUAUUAUUAUUAUUAUUAUUAUUUACAUUUUAGCAAUUUUUGAAUACAUUUAUGUUUUCAAUAUUUUAAAAUGAAAAUAUUUAAAUUAAAUAAAAUUAAAAGGAUAAACAUAAAAAAUUUAAAGUGAAAUGAUAGUAAAAUUUUAAAAUAUGAUUAAUGAGAUAAAUGAUGAUAGAUUUAAUAUUAAAACUACAAUUCAUUUAAUUCAAAUAAAUGACCAUGUAUGAUUUUUUUUAAUAUUUAUAUUUUUUAUAUUUAAUUAUCAUACUUGUUAAGAAAAUUAUAAUGAUGGUUUUUCUACUUUUAGUAAUCAAUUAAAUAAAAUUUAAAAUAAAAUAAUUAGAAUUAAUAUAUUUAUUAAAAUAUUCUUAUAACAAUGAAGUUUAAUAUAUUGAUAUGUAUAUAUAUUAAGGCAAACUUGCCCCAACGGUGGUUAGACAUGAGUUCAAGCCUUUUUGACCCAACGAUAGUUAAUUGAUUGAAAUAUUGUGAAAAUUUAUGAAAAGUCGAUAUUUCGGUGAUAAUUCCAAAAUAUAAGCUAAAUUUCUCCUAAUUUUCGGUCCCUAUUGAAUCACUCUGACAAGUGAAGCGAAAUAUUGAUAAAAUUUCACUAAAAAUUUGCGAUAUUUCAAACAUUGGUUUCAAGCACACAUCAAGGCACGAUUCAAGAGACAAACCCAUCAAGGGAGGAAACAUGGAUGGGGCAUGCUUUAAGUGCACUUUUUACAUUUUGAGACGCGUGAGGAGUAAGCUUUAGUGUACUUGAACAAAAAAUUGAAAUGGAAAACCAACCUAUCUAUGAGUGUUUAGGUAGGUUGGCAAUUUCUGAUAAAAUUCCUAAGUGUCCCCUAACUUGGUUUAUAUUUUGUUCCCCUAUUUCUGGAUCGAUCCAAGUGCAGGAGUAAAUCGAUCCAACUAACCUAUUUUUAAGAUCAAUUUUUAGCCAUUGGAUUAAGGGUUUUAUUCUCAUUUAAAAUCAAAAUUUUCCCAUUUUUGGAAGUAAUGAUUGCAACAGCCGUGAGAGGAUUAUUUAUUUCCUCAUCAUUUUAAGGGUGUUUGCCUCCUAAGAAAAUCCCAUCCAAAUUUUCCAAGAAAUUUUUUUUUAAUGGAUUUUUUGAAAAUGAACAUGGGUUGAUUUCUAAAAAUUUAUCUCUCAUUCUCUUAGUUUUGUGCAAAAACUCAUUUUCUUCUUGUGUGAAUUCAAGAAGAGAUUGAGAUCAAGCUUGGUGCGGACUCCAAGUGUGUUCUGAAAUAAGAAAGUGAGAAGCUGAAAGUGAAGGUAUUAGUCAAGUAGUCUUUAAAGGAUUGAUUGACUUGAGGUAGGUAAAAUCUUGUAUUCAGUUUUGAUUCUUCAUAGUGAAUGUUUUCAAUUUUAUAGUAGGCCCAUGGUUUUUUAUCUUUUUGGAAGUUUUCCACAUUAAAACUUAGUGUCAAUUAUCUCUUUCUCUCACUCUACUGUUUGAUUUAUUUUCAGUUUUUGAUAUCAUUGGAUACUUAAGCAUAUAUGUUGAAUGGUAGAUAUAUGAGCUGAAAUAAGUAUGAUUAUCCAUGGAAUAUCUUCAAUUAUUUUUUUGUUUAUUUUGGUUAAUGGUAUCUUGUAGUAAAUUAAAAUGAGUUAAGGAGAUAAUUGUUUUUUUGAAUAAAUUUUAAUGAGUAUUGAAACAUUUGCAUGUGAAUUGCAUUUUAUAAAUUGUUGGGAGAGUGUUGGUGUAUACAUACUUGCUUGUGGUUUUUAUGCUUUGUUGAAAAGUUGUUGGAAGAGAAGUUUAUGGGCAUUGAAAAUUUUUAAGGUUAGGUAAUCCUUGUUGGGAAAUUUUUUUUAGUUCAACAACACUUAUUCACUCUCUCUCUCUCUCUCUCUCUCUCCCCCUCCCCUCCUUUCUAAGUGUAGUCCAUUAUUGAGAUUUACCUUUUCAAUUGACAUCUGAGUAGGUUUUUAAAGCAAAAAUCACUUUCUUGAAUCUCAAUUAUAGAACCUCAUCAAGAGGGAGCUUCCAUUGGGAGACCACCAAUCUUAACCGAUGAAAAUUAUUCUCAUUGGAAAGUGAGAAUGCAAUAUUUUCUCAAAAUGCAAAGUGAAAAAAGUUUGAAAUGCUGUUGAAUUUGGUUAGUCUCCACCUAAGGUAUUGGAUAGAGAAGAUAGACCAACAAAUGUUAUCAAGCCUAAGUCGGAAUGAGAUAGAGGUGAUAAUGAAGCUAGUGAGAACAAUGAUAGAGUCAUCUAUUCCAUCUUUAAUGCCAUUAACACAUAUGAAUUCCAUAGGAUAGCUACAUGUACUUUGGCUAAGGAGGCUUGGGACAUCCUCUAAGUGACUCAUGAAGGAACUAAUGUUGCGAAAGUGUUCAAACUUCAGAUGUUGACCUUUAGGUUUGAGACAAUUAGGAUGGAAGAUCAUGAAAACUUUGGAGAGUUUUAUGCAAAAUUGAUGGACAUUGUGAAUUCUAGCUUUAAUCUAAGUGAGCCCAUUCUUAACUCCAAAGUGGUUUCAAAAAUUCUAAGAUCUCUUUCGGAGAGAUUUAGAGCAAAAAUCACCGUCAUUGAAAAGUCCAAGGAUGUGGAUUCCUUAAAAGUAAAUAAACUUGUAGGUUCACUCCAAACCUUUAAAAUGACUCUUGGAUCACCUAGGAAAUCAAAGAGUAUUGCCUUAAAUACCAUUAAAGAUGAGUCCUUAGGUUCUAAAGGUGAGUGUGAUGAGAAAAUGUCGGAUGGAGAAGUUGCUAGAUUUGCUAGAAAAUUCAAAAAACACAUGAAGUUCAAGAAAUAUAAGAAGUCCAAGGAAAAUGCUAAAAAAUGGAACAAUUCAAUGGGAAAAUCAAAUGUAAAAGACAAAAAGAAAGACAAGAAUGUCAAAAAGGACCUUGAGGUUGAGUGCUUCAAGUGUGGGGAAAAGAUGCACUAUGUCAUCGAAUGUCCCUAAAAAAAAAAAAAAAAAAAAAAAGAAAAAAAAAGAAAGAAAGCCAUGUAAGUCAUUUGGAGUCACACAAAAUCAUGUUAAUCAAGCAAAAAAGAAUCAAAUGCAAGUGAGGAAUGCACUAAUUUCACAGCCUUUAUGGUAAGUGUCAUUGAGGAAACACUCAAGAAAGAAGUUUUUGGUGAGUCUUGUGAGUCAAGUGACUUUGAUGGUAAUGAGAUGAGUUUUGACUCUGCAUAUGAGACUUUGUACAAGGAGUGCUUAAGUCUAAAACAGAAACAAGUUGAGUGGAAGGCUUCUAGUGAGUCUUGUGAGUCAAGUUAAGUCUCAACUUGAGACCUGUGAGGCAUAAGCUUCAGUGUACUUGAACAAAAAAUCGAAAUGGAAAACCAACCUAUCCCUUCUCAACUUGUCUACGUUCCAUUCUUCUUUGCUUCAAAGUGAUCACAAGUAUUGCUCUCUUUCCUCGGUUCCCAUAUCAUUAUCAUUUUCUUUGCUUAUCUUCAUAUUCUCAUUUCUUGCUCUUUCUAUUCAACGACAAACAUUAUUUUCAUUUUAUUCUCUUCUUGUAUCUUUACUUGUUGUACCUUUUUUUCCGUUUAAAAGUUCGUUUGAAGGAGGAAGACUAGUUUGGGGUUUUUAAAUUGAAAUGAUGAUUCUGUCAUCACUUAAACCUUGUCACAUGUUCAACAUUAUGCAUAUUUUGUUCAUUAUAACUAACAUCAUCACACAAUACAAUAAAUGUAUGACAUGUAUUUAUGAAGUAUGAUGGGUACAUUGUUGAAUUUUAAAUGUAAAGGGGUAAUAUGAAAAACACACUAUUGGUUGAAGGUAAAGUGUAAUACACUCUUUUAUUUUAUAUGUUUUAAAAUAUUUUAUAUAUUUAUUAAUUAUUAAUUAUGAAGAUUAAAUUCAAGUCUAGGCCUUGUUUUACAAUGUUUUCUUAAAUUAGUUUUGAAAUUAAAGGAAAAAGAAAUAAUGUUUUUUGGUACUUUUAAAAAUGUGUUUAAUAAGCGUUUAAAAAAAAUAAUUUGUAAGAGCAAAAAAAAACACUUGGAUAAACAAAUUUUAGUUGUUUUUAAAAUUAAUUUUUAUAUUUUGAUUUUAUAAAAAAUUUGGAAAUUCAAAUUUUCAUAAUAUUAAUUAAAUUAAAUUAAAUUCAAGCCUUUUUAAAAUAAAAAAUGGUGUUGUAAUUAAAAAUAAUUGAUUUUAGUAAUAUGAUAAUAAAAACAUAAAUUAUAUAUAUAUUUAUUAAAGAUGAUACUAUUUUAGUAUAUAAAUAUUAAUAUUUUAUUAUAGUCAUAGUUUAUUCUCUUUUCCAGAACUGAUACUUCCAUUCAUCCUUGAGGAUGUCAGCAUCUUUUGCUUAGCCGCAGGUGAAGUUUGGAUUCUCUCUUUAUUGUUUACAGUUUGAGGGGUGUGACUUUGCUUUACAGCUGUCCAUCUUUUGAUUCACAUAUGGAGAAAGCCACAGAGGAUGCAGAUGCAACAAAACAACGAAGUGGUCAAGUGUGUCAACCGGAAAGACGUGCUUAAAGCUUUCUGCAUUAAGUGGAAAAACUUAAAAAAAUAAUCUUACUUUAUUCUGUUGAUGACUCAUUCUAAUACAUUAUUACCAUUCAUAGUGGAGAAUGGAGAUCAAAUUUCGAUUUUGUCCCACUAUUUGGGCGUCGGUGAAGGAAUUGGCAGGCGCGCUUCAGUGUGCAUCGGGGCGCGCUUCAGUGUGCAUCGGGGCGCGCUUCGGUACGCGUCGAGGCGCGCUUCGGUACGCGUCGAGGCGCGCUUCAGGUACGCGUCGAGGCGCGCUGCAGGUACGCGUCGAGCCCAAAAGGCAUACGAGUCAGAGUUCAAGACAUGGAAGAGGCGCGCCUCCGGUGCGCUUUUCAGACCUGGAGGGUGGAGGGUGGAGGGUGGACGCGUAAGUUUUGAUGUAGUUGAACAAAAGAUGAAAUGGAUGCAAGUUUCAGAAAAGAAUCCAAGCCCUUUCCAAGUCCCAACUCUUUUUCUCUCGUGGACGCCCCUCGCUCUUCUCUGCUUUCCCGUGGUUGCAGUGCAGGUUCUGCUCUCUCCUUUCUCUCCUCAUUUCGUUUUCAUUCUCUCUCUCUCUCUCUCUCUUCCUCUAUUUAUUUUUUUCCCUUUUAUGAAUUACAAUUUACAACAUAAAUGUCACUUAUUUUUAAUCCCGCAUUAUUGUGAUUUAUUGGCAAAAUAAAAGGAAAAAUUACUUAGUUAUGUAUGAUUUCCAUAUUUUACAAAUUUUUUUUUGUUUGCAAUUCAUGUGUUCAAAUUACAAAAAAAAAAAAAAAGUGUAAUUAAAUUAUUGUUCUUUUUAUAUAUAACUAAAAAUAAUGCAAUUCCAUCAUUAUCCUUUUUCUCAAGUAAUAAAAAAGUAUACAAUUUAAAUAUUAAUUUAAGUGAAAAAAUACAUUAUUUAGGUGAAUUUUUUUAUAAAUUUAUUUUUAAAUAUAUAUAUAUAUAUAUAUAUAUAUAUAUAUAUAUAUAUAUAUAUAUAUAUAUAUAUAUAUAUAUAUAUAUAUAAAAUGUAAGAGCACAUACCUUGUUUAUUUGAAAAUUUUCAAGUUCAAUUUUUUAAAAUUUUAAGAUUUUAAAAAGAGUUUUUAAGAUACAAAGUAAAUUUUGUAUUUUUUAUAAGAGCUCUUAUAUUUUGUUCAGAGGUUUUUAAUUUUAAAAAUAAAAUAGAAAGUAUAUUUAAAUGUCACCUUAGUUAUUCUUAAUUAUUUUGAUUUAUUAUGAAGUUUAUUAUUUUUUAUUUGUUAUUUUGUAUAUGUUAUAAAUUAUUUUUUAUAUUUACUAGUUAUGAAAAUUAAAUUAUCAAAAGCUUCGGAAUGUCAUCCUAGGACACUAAAAUGCCUAUUCUAGGCUUUUAACUUCAAAAAAAUGUAAGGUAGAAAGGGUUGACAUCCUAUCGAAAUAUGAAACAUGUUUAGGAAUGAUUCUAAUUAAAACCCUUUUAGUCCAUGACAUUUUUUGUUAAUAGUGUUUUCAUUAAAAAGGCAUUUAAGGAAAAUUACUUAGUGUUUGUGUUAGUGUUCAAACUCUUGAAGUUGGGUUUGCUACUAAUCUUGACUUAACAAUCCAAAGUAGUAAUUGAUUAACUUAUGCAUAUAAUCUCUUUAUAAAUUAAUAUCUGUAAUCUAACAAGGUGAAAGAUAACAACUUCUCAAGAUUACCUUUAUCAUCCUUGAGUUCCAAAUCAUCCUAUAAUAUAAUUAAUUAACAUAUCCUAACUCACAACGAGCUUAUAUCAAAUUUCACUAAAGAAACCAUUAUGGUCAUAAUUUACUUAAACACAUCUCCUUAGGAUUGCCCAAGGGGACAUAAUGUCUUAAUUUCAUAAUAUAUCAUAAUGCUCAUAUUGAAAAUACAUAUUGCUAUCAAAUUUCAUCAACAGUGAUCCAAUUUAUAGGGAAUAUAUAAUUACUUUAAGAUUUCACUCGUACGUCAAAGUCAUUGCUAACUUUGUUACAAACUCAAUAUUCUCUCAAGGUUCAUAAUAGUUUAAUAAAGUCAUAACUAAUCAAUAGUCUUACGUCAUGAUUCAACAUAAGUUUUAUCUAAUGUGUAACCGAACACACUAUUGUAUUUACCAUAGGAACCUCAUCCUAGUGGGUAAGACCGGUUAUUUUUUUAAUUAGGAGGUAAUGCAUUACAACCUAUAAUGAAUUGUCUAAGUCCAUGAAUUGACCUCUAAAUAAAUCAUCUAUUUGUAAAGAACUAAUGACUUGAAUCUUCCCGUACAACUUUUAAUAUAUCAAAGUCAUGCAAAAUACAAGAAAUAUAAGUCAAAAUACUCAUAAGAUAAAAUGUAUGAAAUAAGAAUAGAUUAAAAUGCAACGGAAACUUUAUUAAAUAAAUUAUAAACUUUAAAUUUGUUGUAUCAUAUCAUACUUUUCAGGACUCUUAAUAGAUGUGUUAUUAUUCAUAUAUUCCAAAAACAGUAUCAUAAUUUAUUUUCUUGUCUAUGUUGAUCAUGACCUUAUCAAUACUAGUAACCACUUAAGCUUUACUUCUCAUUUCAUUGCAAGCCUCUCAUUAUAGUUCUUCGUGAAGGAUCUUAGAGAUCUACAUGACUUCCUUGAUGUUAAGGUUGUCCCUACUACCAAAUGUAAUGUUUCUACCUCUACAUAAAUACAUUUGGAACCUCCUACAACCUCACCAUAUAUCAUAAUCCAAUGUAGUGAACAUUCCAUUAUCAACCUUAACACCUUUGGUUCACUAUGAUGGUACUCUUUCCUAUAACCCAACGCAAUAUUGACAAGUGGUUAGAACCGAACCCUCUAAUCUUCAGCCGUGCAAAUGGCAUCUUCUUUGUUGUAAACAAGUUAUCUUAAGUCAUGCAUUAACCAACUCAUACGCAUUGUUCAAUUGCCACCUACCUACCUAUGUACCAAUC